rnacentral:rRNA from 1 species
CCGCACAAGCGGAGGAACAUGUGGUUAAUUCGAUGAUACGCGAGGAACCUUACCUGGGCUUAAUGGGAGUGACAGCUGUCGAAAGAUGGUUUCUUCGGACACUCUUCAAGGUGCUGCAGUUGGUUGUCGUCAGCUCGUGCCGUGAGGUGUCGGGUUAAGUCCCAUAACGAGCGCAACCCUUACCGUUAGUUACCAUCAGGUUAAGCUGGGGACUCUAGCGGGACUGCCACCGUAAGGUGAGAGGAAGGUGGGGAUGACGUCAAGUCCUCAUGGCCUUUAUGCCCAGGGCUACACACGUGCUACAAUGGGUGGUACAAAGAGCAGCCAGCUCGCGAGAGUGAGCAAAUCUCAAAAAGCCAUCCUCAGUUCGGAUUGAAGUCUGCAACUCGACUUCAUGAAGUUGGAAUCGCUAGUAAUCGCGGAUCAGCAUGCCCGCGGUCGAAUACGUUCCCGGGCCUU